rnacentral:rRNA from 1 species
GAACGCUGGCGGCAUGCCUUACACAUGCAAGUCGAACGGCAGCACGGGAGCAAUCCUGGUGGCGAGUGGCGAACGGGUGAGUAAUAUAUCGGAACGUGCCCGGUCGUGGGGGAUAACGUAGCGAAAGCUACGCUAAUACCGCAUACGAUCUACGGAUGAAAGCGGGGGAUCGCAAGACCUCGCGCGAUUGGAGCGGCCGAUAUCAGAUUAGGUAGUUGGUGAGGUAAAGGCUCACCAAGCCGACGAUCUGUAGCUGGUCUGAGAGGACGACCAGCCACACUGGGACUGAGACACGGCCCAGACUCCUACGGGAGGCAGCAGUGGGGAAUUUUGGACAAUGGGCGCAAGCCUGAUCCAGCCAUUCCGCGUGCAGGAUGAAGGCCCUCGGGUUGUAAACUGCUUUGUACGGAACGAAAAGGUUUCUCUUAAUACGAGGAGCUCAUGACGGUACCGUAAGAAUAAGCACCGGCUAACUACGUG